rnacentral:rRNA from 1 species
AGAAUGAACGCUGGCGGCGUGCUUAACACAUGCAAGUCGUGCGCGAAGGUGGCUUCGGCUGCCGGAGAGCGGCGAACGGGUGAGUAACACGUGGGUAAUCUGCCUUGGAGUGGGGGAUAACCUGGGGAAACUCGGGCUAAUACCGCAUACGAUGGCUGGGACAUGUCCUGGUCAGGAAAGCUGGCCUCUACUUGUAAGCUAGCGCUCCUAGAGGAGCCCGCGGCUGAUUAGCUAGUUGGUGGGGUAAUGGCUCACCAAGGCGACGAUCAGU